rnacentral:rRNA from 1 species
AACGAACGCUGGCGGCAUGCCUAACACAUGCAAGUCGAACGAGACCUUCGGGCCUAGUGGCGCACUGGUGCGUAACGCGUGGGAACCUGCCCUUAGGUUCGGAAUAACUCCCCGAAAGGGGUGCUAAUACCGGAUAAUGUCUUCGGUCCAAAGAUUUAUCGCCUUUGGAUGGGCCCGCGUGGGAUUAGUUUGUUGGUAGGGUAAAAGCCUACCAAUGCGACGAUACAUAGCUGGUCUGAGAGGAUGAUCAGCCACACUGGGACUGAGACACGGCCCAGAAUACUACGGGAGGGAGCAGUGGGGAAUAUAGGAAAAUGGGGGAAGGCCUGAAGGAGCAAUGACGCGUGAGUGAUGAAGGCCUUAGGGAUGUGAAGCAAUUUUACACGGGAUGAUAAUGACGGUACCAGGAGAAUAAGCACCGGCUAACUCCGUG